ensembl:misc_RNA 7SK 7SK RNA
GGGUGUUAGGGUGGCCUGGCUGUUGGCAUUUGUCACCCUCUGACGACUCCUCUGGUCUAGUGGGUGGGGUCUCUGUCUUCUUGCUUGCACUGCUCUGUGCUCGUCCCUUCUGAGCUCAAAGGACACAAGUUUCUAAAUAGCAGAGGCUUGCCCAUUGGUCCAGGGGGUGGCAGAGCUGUGUUUCUGAGUGACAACCUCUAGAUCAAAUCCCUUCUGACCCAUUCAGAGGACAGCAUAGGGUGGCAAGCUUGCAAGACUCCAGACACGUCCAAAUGAGGCACUGCACAGCAGCCUGCUUUUCAUU